GAGUUUGAUCCUGGCUCAGGACUAACGCUGGCGGAAUGCCUCAUACAUGCAAGUCGAACGGCCCUUCGGGGCAGUGGCGGACGGGUGAGUAACGCGUAGAUAACGUACCCAGUACUGGAGGACAACAGGGGGAAACCCCUGCUAAUACUGCAUUAAGACCCCAGGUGAAACUCCUGGUGUUUAAAAGCUUUUAGCGGUUCUGGAUCGGUCUGCGUCGGAUUAGCUAGUUGGUAGGGUAAAGGCCUACCAAGGCGACGAUCCGUAGCUGGUCUGAGAGGAUGAUCAGCCACAGUGGGACUGAGACACGGCCCACACGUCCUACGGGAGGCAGCAGUAGGGAAUAUUGCGCAAUGGCGAAAGCCUGACGCAGCAAUUCCGCGU
rnacentral:rRNA from 1 species